AAUUGAGGCAGAUCCGGCCAUGGAGAUUUCCGAAGAUUUGAAAGGAUGACAUUGUCUGAAAUCUUUGCUUCUCCAUCCGGGUUCUCCACCUAAGGCUCUGGUAUUUGUGCAAAGUGACACUCAAAGCUGGAAAGGCUCACACUCAGACACACCCCGCCAGCCACACAGACUCCAUUCCUCCGUCUGUGUCCUUGUACCUGGAGAGUGGUCCCCAGCCUGUCAUGGACUCUGGUGGAGAUGGCCAACACUGCCACCUAGGCUCUUUAGGACCAACAAGACUUGCUGAACUCAUGCGCGAGGAGGACGAGACACCGUGGGAGAGACCCAGAACCAGUCCCCCACCCCCAAUUGGUUGCAAACAGUGGAGCCAUUUGAAGGAUCCUUCUGUGGCCUCUUCAGCACCUUCUUCUCUAGAUGGCUGGCAUCCUGGAAGAGGCCAUCCAGGCAGUCCUGUUGUGGUAGGGUCCUCCUGGGUCUAGUGAGAUGUCUUCUGCAC